CACGUAGGGGGCAAGCGUUGUCCGGAUUUAUUGGGCGUAAAGAGCUCGUAGGUGGUUCGGUAAGUCGGGUGUUAAACCCCCAGGCUCAACCUGGGGACGCCACUCGAUACUGCUGUGACUAGAGUCCGGUAGGGGAGCGUGGAAUUCCUGGUGUAGCGGUGAAAUGCGCAGAUAUCAGGAAGAACACCCGUGGCGAAGGCGGCUCUCUGGGACGGUACUGACGCUGAGACGCGAAAGCGUGGGGAGCGAACAGG
rnacentral:rRNA from 1 species